AAGAAAUAUUUUUAUAAAAAGCUUCUAACUUUUUUAAAAGCAAUACCUUGUUUAUAUUUCUU
rnacentral:tRNA from 1 species